AUGGGUCGAGUGAUGAUCAAAUGCAUAGUUCAGCUGAUAUCUGCGUGAUUAAUGCAAUUUUAGUCUUUCGCUCCUAUCUGACGAUCCUU
rfam:Prunus persica cultivar Lovell chromosome G7, whole genome shotgun sequence.